CCCAAUCAAAUUUGGCAUUAGCAGAUGUGGCAUGGAUCCUUUCUGUUUAACGCGGUCCAUAUAAGUUACAUAUUCUCCUCUAUGCUCUAUGUUCUAUGCACUAGGUUCUAUUUACGUCACAGGCCGCUUCUCGACUUUGUGACACUCAGCGUUUUGUCAGCCUUGCACUUGACUUUCAGGCAAGUCGCCAAGAUGCUGACCUGUCCCUUUUUUGGUCCGGCGCGUGCUCGCCUUCUGCGAUGCCCGCGUAUUUCCUCCGGCUAUAAAAGCUCGGAGCUACGGCUAGGCAUUCGUCUACCGUUUCAGCCACCCAUUCCGUGUGUCCCUGUCGGUUGUCCCGACCCGUUUUGUGAUUGUCUCAAUAAACUCCGUUUAUUUUGCCAUACCUUCGUCUCCGGUCUAUCACCUGCUCCCACACCUCACAUAAGUGGCGCAGUCCGGUUUUCGAACUUAUCGUGUUUUACCCGAAAUCGGUCAACACUUUGGCGCGUUUUACCGCACCCCUUUUUUCGCCUGCCGCCGCAGCCGAAUUUUUCUCAUCGCCGCAACUUAUCCGCGCUUUAACGCCAAUCGUUGCCGCCCGCCUGUGAUCCAGUUCUGUUCCUCUUUCGUGCUGUGCAAUGAAGAUCAUCAUCAUUUUUGUGGCGAUUUGCUGUCCUGGCAUCCUGGCCCUUAACGGCCUUACGGAUAUUUCACAAAAUGCCGGCGUUCUGCCAAUCAAAUUGGGGCCAGCAAAGCUACGACGCAGUUAUCACACGUUUAUACACUAUUAUGAUACUUCUAUCAUAAAUAAAGAACUUCGCUUGAUUCAAGAUUCUCUCGGUUCAAUUUCUAAAGUCGCUUUGUCUAACGACACGUAUGCACCGUCUCUCACACUGAUCAAAACUAUUGGUGGAAAAAUUCUUGAGAAGACUCGUUUCCUCGGUCCCUCCAGAUAUGCUCGAGGCAUCGCUAAUUUCUUAGGUCGUGGGUUAUCGUGGUUGACUGGCAAUCUCGAUGAUACGGACAAGGAACGUUACGAUGCCCUGUUGCGAAACCUGGAUAAAAGCCAAAUUUCCGUUGCAACGCAAGUUCAACAGGAAUACAGCUUAACUUCAGCUAUUUUCAGUAAAAAUAAGGAAAAUGAGAGGCGUCUUGAAUCAAACGAAAGGGUUUUGCGUGAUAAAUUAGCAUUAGUUACCAAAUCUAUGGCAAAUAAUUCAAUUUCUUAUGAAACGCAUUUUCAUACAAUCGAAACAAUCGAAUAUAUUUUAAGUUACAGUUUAACCUUCCUACACAUUUUGACAGAGAUAGAAAAUUCCAUUUUAUUUUGCGCAUCUGGGACACUACAUCCCUCCGUCAUUUCUGUUGACGACAUUCAUUCGGAGAUAAAAACUAUUAAACAGUAUUAUAAUGAGUCCAUCCCUGGUAAUCUGACGCAACUCUCCUUUUCAGAGUUGACAAAAUUUUUAAGGGUCGCUUGCGCUAAAACUACAGAUAAAAUUGUAUAUUAUAUUGACGUCCCUAUUAAUUAUGAAACCACUUUCACUCUUUUUCACCUUUUGUCAAUCCCCUCCCUUGUUGGGUCACAUGAGUAUGUGUCUGUUUUACCUGAGGUCCGCCAUGUCCUGCUCGGAACAGACGUCGCCCUGGCUGUGACUUCCCCGUGCCCGAAAUUAGGAGCUGCCUACCAAUGCUCCACGGCCUCACCGUUGGACCCGUCAUCAUGCAGUGUCUCCGCAUUACAUCACAACACAGAGCAGUGCCGGAAAGUUAAAGUACAGCUGAACUCUAGCCAUGUUGAAGUCUUACCAGAAACCAACCAAUUCUUGCUUUGUUUUCCUAUCUCUCAAAAUUUAAUUUUCACUUGCAAUGGGUUUGUGGAAAAACGGUCUUUAAAAGGAAUUCUUUUAUUCGGCUCAAAUUCCUGUACUAUUACAUUUAAUGAUCGUGUCCUUAAGGCACAAUUAAACACGUCAGCAGAAUUACAAUUAACUGAUUUCACUUUGACGAAUGUUAGCCACGUUAACUUGCUAGACUUUAAUGUUUCAUUGGCUCAUCUAAAUUUAGACUAUCCUGCUGAAUUUCUUCAUUCUAAACCGUUACCACCCACUACUAUCUUUUCUGAACCAGAAACCCAUCUUUUUGCUCUAUAUUUCUCCGUCUCUUUGCUGCUCUUACUCAUUGUUUCCGUUACGAUCUAUAUGUGUUACAUGAAACGAUUGUUCAACCGUGCUCCGGUUGCCGAGCCGUCUGUUUCUUUUGCUACUGAUACAACGGGACCCAGAGCAACUAUCAAUUCGACAACUUUAUCACCAAGCCCGGCUGGCUCGACGCCAACCUUUGCACCGUCUAAUCUUCUCGCACUACAGCGUUUGGAGUCUCCCACCGCGCUCACUGGCUUGUCUCGCAUUGCGGCCGAUAUCUCCCGCUACGCCGAGAUCCUCCCGCCGCUCUGAUGCCCUGCGAUUGUCUGCCUCUCUGACGCUCAUUCAUCCGGACUCUUAUCGCUGCAUACUUAUCAAGAAUACUUCGAUUAACCUAUUGACACUAAUUAUGCGCUUCACGCUAAAUUACUUCCUUUCAUAAUUGUACUUUUUCUUUUGCUAAUCAUUCAUAUUAACUUUUGUAUUAUUGGACGACCGACAGCCCUUUCCCUUCUUAUUUUGCGAGUCGAAUAUGCCUUCUUCUCUCUUUUCUUUUCCUUUUUUUUUCGUACAGCCGUGCUCCAUUCCUUUCACAAAGCUCUUCUCUUUUACUUUCAUCACUUUGUUUUCUCUUGUCACCCGUCUUUCCGUCUUAGGGGGGAGGAGUUACAUAUUCUCCUCUAUGCUCUAUGUUCUAUGCACUAGGUUCUAUUUACGUCACAGGCCGCUUCUCGACUUUGUGACACUCAGCGUUUUGUCAGCCUUGCACUUGACUUUCAGGCAAGUCGCCAAGAUGCUGACCUGUCCCUUUUUUGGUCCGGCGCGUGCUCGCCUUCUGCGAUGCCCGCGUAUUUCCUCCGGCUAUAAAAGCUCGGAGCUACGGCUAGGCAUUCGUCUACCGUUUCAGCCACCCAUUCCGUGUGUCCCUGUCGGUUGUCCCGAUCCGUUUUGUGAUUGUCUCAAUAAACUCCGUUUAUUUUGCCAUACCUUCGUCUCCGGUCUAUCACCUGCUCCCACACCUCACAUAAGUU
rnacentral:lncRNA from 1 species